GACGGGGGGGGCAAGUGUUCUUCGGAAUUACUGGGCGUAAAGCGCACGUAGGCGGCUUUUUAAGUCAGAGGUGAAAUCCUGGAGCUCAACUCCAGAACUGCCUUUGAUACUGGAGAGCUUGAGUCCGGGAGAGGUGAGUGGAACUGCGAGUGUAGAGGUGAAAUUCGUAGAUAUUCGCAAGAACACCAGUGGCGAAGGCGGCUCACUGGCCCGGUACUGACGCUGAGGUGCGAAAGCGUGGGGAGCAAACAGG
rnacentral:rRNA from 1 species